rnacentral:rRNA from 1 species
AUUGAACGCUGGCGGCAGGCCUAACACAUGCAAGUCGAGCGAGCGGCGGACGGGUGAGUAAUGUCUGGGAAACUGCCUGAUGGAGGGGGAUAACUACUGGAAAAGGUAGCUAAUACCGCAUACCAUCAGAUGUGCCCAGAUGGGAUUAGCGAGUAGGUGGGGGAAUGGCUCACCUAGGCGACGAUCCCGAGCUGGUCUGAGAGGAUGACCAGCCACACUGGAACGUGGACACGGUCCAGACUCCUACGGGAGGCAGCAGUGGGGAAUAUUGCACAAUGGGCGCAAGCCUGAUGCAGCCAUGCCGCGUGUGUGAAGAAGGCCUUAGGGUUGUAAAGCACUUGCAGCGGGGAGGCGUUACCCGCAGAAGAAGCACCGGCUAACUCCGUGCCAGCAGCCGCGGUAAUUC